GACGGGUAGCCGGCCUGAGAGGGCGACCGGCCACACUGGGACUGAGACACGGCCCAGACUCCUACGGGAGGCAGCAGUGGGGAAUAUUGCACAAUGGGCGAAAGCCUGAUGCAGCGACGCCGCGUGAGGGAUGACGGCCUUCGGGUUGUAAACCUCUUUCAGCAGGGAAGAAGCGAAAGUGACGGUACCUGCAGAAGAAGCGCCGGCUAACUACGUGCCAGCAGCCGCGGUAAUACGUAGGGCGCAAGCGUUGUCCGGAAUUAUUGGGCGUAAAGAGCUCGUAGGCGGCUUGUCGCGUCGGUUGUGAAAGCCCGGGGCUUAACCCCGGGUCUGCAGUCGAUACGGGCAGGCUAGAGUUCGGUAGGGGAGAUCGGAAUUCCUGGUGUAGCGGUGAAAUGCGCAGAUAUCAGGAGGAACACCGGUGGCGAAGGCGGAUCUCUGGGCCGAUACUGACGCUGAGGAGCGAAAGCGUGGGGAGCGAACAGGAUUAGAUACCCUGGUAGUCCACGCCGUAAACGGUGGGCACUAGGUGUGGGCAACAUUCCACGUUGUCCGUGCCGCAGCUAACGCAUUAAGUGCCCCGCUG
rnacentral:rRNA from 1 species